rnacentral:rRNA from 1 species
GAGGAAGGAGAGAGAUAGGCUUAACACAUGCAAGUCGAGGGGCAGCACAAGGUAGCUUGCUAUCUGGGUGGCGACCGGCGCACGGGUGCGUAACGCGUAUGCAACUUGCCCUAUACAGGAGGAUAACCCGUCGAAAGACGGACUAAUACUGCGUAUGCUCACAACUUGGCAUCAAGUGGUGAGGAAAGAAAUUCGGUAUAGGAUAGGCAUGCGUCCCAUUAGCUUGUUGGUGAGGUAACGGCUCACCAAGGCAACGAUGGGUAGGGGAACUGAGAGGUUUAUCCCCCACACUGGUACUGAGACACGGACCAGACUCCUACGGGAGGCAGCAGUGAGGAAUAUUGGCCAAUGGGCGCGAGCCUGAACCAGCCAAGUCGCGUGAAGGAUGACUGUCUUAUGGAUUGUAAACUUCUUUUAUACGGGAAUAACAAGAGUCACGUGUGACUCCCUGCAUGUACCGUAUGAAUAAGCAUCGGCUAACUCCGUG